rnacentral:rRNA from 1 species
CCUACGGGUGGCAGCAGUCGAGAAUCUUUCACAAUGGGGGAAACCCUGAUGGUGCGAAGCCGCGUGGGGGAAUGCAGGUCUUCGGAUUGUAAACCCCUGUCAUGAGGGAGCAAAUUAAAAAGAUAGUACCACAAGAGGAAGAGACGGCUAACACUGUGCCAGCAGCCGCGGUAAUACAGAGGUGUCAAGCGUUGUUCGGAAUCACUGGGCGUAAAGCGUGCGUAGGCUGUUUCGUAAGUCGGGUGUGAAAGGCGCGGGCUCAACCCUCGGACGGCACAUGAUACUGCGAGACUAGAGUAAUGUAGAGGUAAGCGGAAUUCUCGGUGUAGCGGUGAAAUGCGUAGAUAUCGAGAAGAACACUGGUGGCGAAGGCAGGUUCCUGGACAUUAACUGACGCUGAUGCACGAAGGCCAGGGGAGCGAAAAGGAUUAGAUACCCUUGUAGUC